rnacentral:tRNA from 1 species
GGCCAGCGUGGUGUAGUGGUUUGGGUGUUGGACUAGGACACUGGAAACCAGGGUUCGAUUCCCAGCUCGGCCA